CAGUCGCCGCGGUAAUACGAAGGGGGCUAGCGUUGUUCGGAUUUACUGGGCUUAAAGGGUGCGUAGGCGGAUUGUUAAGUCAGGGGUGAAAUCCCGAGGCUCAACCUCGGAACUGCCUUUGAUACUGGCGAUCUUGAGUCCGGGAGAGGUGAGUGGAACUGCGAGUGUAGAGGUGAAAUUCGUAGAUAUUCGCAAGAACACCGGUGGCGAAGGCGGCUCACUGGCCCGGUACUGACGCUGAGGCACGAAAGCGUGGGGAGCAAACAGGAUUAGAUACCCCAGUAGUCCCUGUCUCUUAUAC
rnacentral:rRNA from 1 species